rnacentral:snoRNA from 1 species
UUAAAUGAUGAUCAACUUUUACGAUAUUCACACUGUACGAGAAUUCACGUUCAAUGACUUAUCAAAAAAAUACUGAUUUAAUGACUCUGAUA